UCAGUACAUGUUGUGGUUAAUCUUUGUCCAUUUUAAUAUCAUGUGUUUACCGUAUGUGAGUUGCAUUAAAUUAUAUCGCUAGGGGCCCGCUCAAUGGGUCCAGGACAUUAAAGUCCUUGGUAUGCCACAAUGCGAUUUCAUGUUAAAGUUAUGGUUGCAACCAGUCGCCAGGGGCCGGCUCAAUCGGUCCAGGACGGAAAGGUCCUUGGUAUGCCACCGUGCGACUUUCAGUCACGAAUGUUUUAAAGGCCGGAGGCGCGUGGAAGGUCGAAUGGCGAAUCAAAUAUUUUGAAUUUAGCAUUACUUAAAAAUGUUAUUUUAAGUAAAGUAUGUUUAAAUAAAAAUUUAUUUCACUAUUUUCUUGUUGAAUAUUUAUUUAUA